UUGUAGGACACUCUAUACGGAGUUACAAAGGACGACAUUAGACGAAUCAUCUGGAAAGAUGAAUCAAAGAAGGUAAUAAUCCUGUAGUCGAAAAUGUUGUCUCUCUUGAGUGGAUCCUGAGUACGACGGAGCACGUGAAAUUCCGUCGGAAUCAGGGAGGACCAUCUCCUAAGGCUAAAUACUCUCUAGUGACCGAUAGUGAACCAGUACCGUGAGGGAAAGGUGAAAAGCACCCCGGAAGGGGAGUGAAAUAGAACCUGAAACCGUGUGCUUACAAGUAGUCAGAGCCCGUUAAUGGGUGAUGGCGUGCCUUUUGUAGAAUGAACCGGCGAGUUACGAUUUGAUGCAAGGUUAAGCAGUAAAUGUGGAGCCGUAGCGAAAGCGAGUCUGAAUAGGGCGUUUAGUAUUUGGUCGUAGACCCGAAACCAGGUGAUCUACCCUUGGUCAGGUUGAAGUUCAGGUAACACUGAAUGGAGGACCGAACCGACUUACGUUGAAAAGUGAGCGGAUGAACUGAGGGUAGCGGAGAAAUUCCAAUCGAACCUGGAGAUAGCUGGUUCUCUCCGAAAUAGCUUUAGGGCUAGCCUCAAGUGAUGAUUAUUGGAGGUAGAGCACUGUUUGGACGAGGGGCCCCUCUCGGGUUACCGAAUUCAGACAAACUCCGAAUGCCAAUUAAUUUAACUUGGGAGUCAGAACAUGGGUGAUAAGGUCCGUGUUCGAAAGGGAAACAGCCCAGACCACCAGCUAAGGUCCCAAAAUAUAUGUUAAGUGGAAAAGGAUGUGGCGUUGCCCAGACAACUAGGAUGUUGGCUUAGAAGCAGCCAUCAUUUAAAGAGUGCGUAAUAGCUCACUAGUCGAGUGACACUGCGCCGAAAAUGUACCGGGGCUAAACAUAUUACCGAAGCUGUGGAUUGUCCUUUGGACAAUGGUAGGAGAGCGUUCUAAGGGCGUUGAAGCAUGAUCGUAAGGACAUGUGGAGCGCUUAGAAGUGAGAAUGCCGGUGUGAGUAGCGAAAGACGGGUGAGAAUCCCGUCCACCGAUUGACUAAGGUUUCCAGAGGAAGGCUCGUCCGCUCUGGGUUAGUCGGGUCCUAAGCUGAGGCCGACAGGCGUAGGCGAUGGAUAACAGGUUGAUAUUCCUGUACCACCUAUAAUCGU
rnacentral:rRNA from 1 species